rnacentral:rRNA from 1 species
UACGGAGGGAGCUAGCGUUGUUCGGAAUUACUGGGCGUAAAGCGUACGUAGGCGGUUAUUCAAGUCAGAGGUGAAAGCCCGGGGCUCAACCCCGGAACUGCCUUUGAAACUAGAUAGCUAGAAUCUUGGAGAGGUCAGUGGAAUUCCGAGUGUAGAGGUAGAAAUUCGUAGAUAUUCGGAAGAACACCAGUGGCGAAGGCGACUGACUGGACAAGCAUUGACGCUGAGGUACGAAAGCGUGGGGAGCAAACAGG